rnacentral:rRNA from 1 species
GGGCCCGCACAAGCGGUGGAGCAUGUGGUUUAAUUCGAUGAUACGCGAGGAACCUUACCAGGGCUUAAAUGCAGAACGACCGGGGUGGAAACACCCCUUUCUUCGGACGGUCUGCAAGGUGCUGCAUGGUUGUCGUCAGCUCGUGCUGUGAAGUGUCGGGUUAAGUCCCAUAACGAGCGCAACCCCUAUUUUCUAGUUGCCAGCGGUUCGGCCGGGGACUCUAGAGAAACUGCCAGCGUAAGCUGUGAGGAAGUGGGGAUGACGUCAAAUCAUCACGGCCCUUACGUCCUGGGGCCACACACGUGCUACAAUGGUGGGGGACAACGAGUCGCGAACCCCGCGAGGGUAAGCU